UACAUGGGGUGCAAACGUUGCUCGGAAUUAUUGGGCGUAAAGCGCACGUAGGCGGUUUGUUAAGUCGGAUGUGAAAUCCCUCGGCUCAACUGAGGAAGUGCAUCCGAAACUGGCAGGCUUGAGUACUAAAGAGGGUCGCGGAAUUCCCGGUGUAGAGGUGAAAUUCGUAGAUAUCUGGAGGAACACCGGUGGCGAAGGCGGCGACCUGGGUAGAUACUGACGCUGAGGUGCGAAAGCGUGGGGAGCAAACAGG
rnacentral:rRNA from 1 species